rnacentral:rRNA from 1 species
ACGGGAGGCAGCAGUGGGGAAUAUUGCACAAUGGGGGAAACCCUGAUGCAGCGACGCCGCGUGAAGGAAGAAGUAUUUCGGUAUGUAAACUUCUAUCAGCAGGGAAGAAAAUGACGGUACCUGACUAAGAAGCCCCGGCUAACUACGUGCCAGCAGCCGCGGUAAUACGUAGGGGGCAAGCGUUAUCCGGAUUUACUGGGUGUAAAGGGAGCGUAGACGGCAUCGUAAGUCUGAUGUGAAAGGCAGGGGCUCAACUCCUGGACUGCAUUGGAAACUACGAAGCUUGAGUGCCGGAGGGGUAAGCGGAAUUCCUAGUGUAGCGGUGAAAUGCGUAGAUAUUAGGAGGAACACCAGUGGCGAAGGCGGCUUACUGGACUGUAACUGACGUUGAGGCUCGAAAGCGUGGGGAGCAAACAGGAUUAGAUACCCUGGUA